GACGAACGCUGGCGGCGUGCUUAACACAUGCAAGUCGAACGAAGAGCGAUGGAAGCUUGCUUCUAUCAAUCUUAGUGGCGAACGGGUGAGUAACGCGUAAUCAACCUGCCCUUCAGAGGGGGACAACAGUUGGAAACGACUGCUAAUACCGCAUACGAUCUAAUCUCGGCAUCGAGGAUAGAUGAAAGGUGGCCUCUACAUGUAAGCUAUCACUGAAGGAGGGGAUUGCGUCUGAUUAGCUAGUUGGAGGGGUAACGGCCCACCAAGGCGAUGAUCAGUAGCCGGUCUGAGAGGAUGAACGGCCACAUUGGGACUGAGACACGGCCCAGACUCCUACGGGAGGCAGCAGUGGGGAAUCUUCCGCAAUGGACGAAAGUCUGACGGAGCAACGCCGCGUGAGUGAUGACGGCCUUCAGGUUGUAAAGCUCUGUUAAUCGGGACGAAAGGCCUUCUUGCGAAUAGGGAGAAGGAUUGACGGUACCGGAAUAGAAAGCCACGGCUAACUACGUG
rnacentral:rRNA from 1 species